UACGAAGGGGGCUAGCGUUGUUCGGAAUUACUGGGCGUAAAGCGCGCGCAGGCGGCUAUCCAAGUCAGUGGUGAAAGCCCGGAGCUCAACUCCGGAACUGCCAUUGAAACUGUUUAGCUUGAGGAUGAGAGAGGUGAGUGGAAUUCCCAGUGUAGAGGUGAAAUUCGUAGAUAUUGGGAAGAACACCCGUGGCGAAGGCGGCUCUCUGGGACGGUACUGACGCUGAGACGCGAAAGCCAGGGGAGCGAACGGG
rnacentral:rRNA from 1 species